rnacentral:rRNA from 1 species
ACAGCAGCCGCCGCGGGAAUACGUAGGUGGCAAGCGUUGUCCGGAAUUAUUGGGCGUAAAGCGCGCGCAGGUGGUUUCUUAAGUCUGAUGUGAAAGCCCCCGGCUCAACCGGGGAGGGUCAUCGGAAACUGGGAAACUUGAGUGCAGAAGAGGAGAGUGGAAUUCCACGUGUAGCGGUGAAAUGCGUAGAGAUGUGGAGGAACACCAGUGGCGAAGGCGACUCUCUGGUCUGUAACUGACGCUGAGGAGCGAAAGCGUGGGGAGCGAACAGGAUUAGAUACCCCGGUAGUCCCUGUCUCUUAUAC